GAUGAACGCUGACAGAAUGCUUAACACAUGCAAGUCUACUUGAUCCUUCGGGUGAUGGUGGCGGACGGGUGAGUAACGCGCAAAGAACUUGCCCUGCAGUCUGGGACAACAUUUGGAAACGAAUGCUAAUACCGGAUAUUAUGUGAGUUUCGCAUGAAAUUCAUAUGAAAGCUAUAUGCGCUGCAGGAGAGCUUUGCGUCCUAUUAGCUAGUUGGUGAGGUAACGGCUCACCAAGGCGAUGAUAGGUAGCCGGCCUGAGAGGGUGAACGGCCACAAGGGGACUGAGACACGGCCCUUACUCCUACGGGAGGCAGCAGUGGGGAAUAUUGGACAAUGGACCAAAAGUCUGAUCCAGCAAUUCUGUGUGCACGAUGAAGUUUUUCGGAAUGUAAAGUGCUUUCAGCUGGGACGAAGUAAGUGACGGUACCAACAGAAGAAGCGACGGCUAAAUACGUGCCAGCCGCCGCGGUAA
rnacentral:rRNA from 1 species